GAUGAACGCUGGCGGCGUGCCUAAUACAUGCAAGUCGAGCGAACGGACGAGAAGCUUGCUUCUCUGAUGUUAGCGGCGGACGGGUGAGUAACACGUGGAUAACCUACCUAUAAGACUGGGAUAACUUCGGGAAACCGGAGCUAAUACCGGAUAAUAUUUUGAACCGCAUGGUUCAAAAGUAAAAGACGGUCUUGCUGUCACUUAUAGAUGGAUCCGCGCUGCAUUAGCUAGUUGGUAAGGUAACGGCUUACCAAGGCAACGAUGCAUAGCCGACCUGAGAGGGUGAUCGGCCACACUGGAACUGAGACACGGUCCAGACUCCUACGGGAGGCAGCAGUAGGGAAUCUUCCGCAAUGGGCGAAAGCCUGACGGAGCAACGCCGCGUGAGUGAUGAAGGUCUUCGGAUCGUAAAACUCUGUUAUUAGGGAAGAAUAUAUGUGUAAGUAACUGUGCACAUCUUGACGGUACCUAAUCAGAAAGCCACGGCUAACUACGUGCCAGCAGCCGCGGUAAUACGUAGGUGGCAAGCGUUAUCCGGAAUUAUUGGGCGUAAAGCGCGCGUAGGCGGUUUUUUAAGUCUGAUGUGAAAGCCCACGGCUCAACCGUGGAGGGUCAUUGGAAACUGGAAAACUUGAGUGCAGAAGAGGAAAAUGGAAUUCCAUGUGUAGCGGUGAAAUGCGCAGAGAUAUGGAGGAACACCAGUGGCGAAGGCGACUUUCGGGUCUGUAACUGACGCUGAUGUGCGAAAGCGUGGGGAUCAAACAGGAUUAGAUACCCUGGUAGUCCACGCCGUAAACGAUGAGUGCUAAGUGUUAGGGGGUUUCCGCCCCUUAGUGCUGCAGCUAACGCAUUAAGCACUCCGCCUGGGGAGUACGACCGCAAGGUUGAAACUCAAAGGAAUUGACGGGGACCCGCACAAGCGGUGGAGCAUGUGGUUUAAUUCGAAGCAACGCGAAGAACCUUACCAAAUCUUGACAUCCUUUGACAACUCUAGAGAUAGAGCCUUCCCCUUCGGGGGACAAAGUGACAGGUGGUGCAUGGUUGUCGUCAGCUCGUGUCGUGAGAUGUUGGGUUAAGUCCCGCAACGAGCGCAACCCUUAAGCUUAGUUGCCAUCAUUAAGUUGGGCACUCUAAGUUGACUGCCGGUGACAAACCGGAGGAAGGUGGGGAUGACGUCAAAUCAUCAUGCCCCUUAUGAUUUGGGCUACACACGUGCUACAAUGGACAAUACAAAGGGCAGCGAAACCGCGAGGUCAAGCAAAUCCCAUAAAGUUGUUCUCAGUUCGGAUUGUAGUCUGCAACUCGACUACAUGAAGCUGGAAUCGCUAGUAAUCGUAGAUCAGCAUGCUACGGUGAAUACGUUCCCGGGUCU
rnacentral:rRNA from 1 species